UAAUUGAAGAGUUUGAUCAUGGCUCAGAUUGAACGCUGGCGGCAGGCCUAACACAUGCAAGUCGAGC
rnacentral:rRNA from 5 species